rnacentral:rRNA from 1 species
GAUGAACGCUAGCGGGAGGCCUAACACAUGCAACCGAGCGGGAUUGUUGGUUAGCUUGCUAACUAACGAUGAGAGCGGCGUACGGGUGCGGAACAUGUGUGCAAUCUGCCCUUAUCAAGGGGAUAGCCCAGAGAAAUCUGGAUUAAUACCCUAUAACAUAUGGGAUGGCAUCAUUCAUAUUAAAAGCUACGGCGGAUAAGGAUGAGCACGCACAAGAUUAGCUAGUUGGUAAGGUAACGGCUUACCAAGGCGACGAUCUUUAGGGGGCCUGAGAGGGUGAUCCCCCACACUGGGACUGAGACACGGCCCAGACUCCUACGGGAGGCAGCAGUGAGGAAUAUUGGACAAUGGGUGAAAGCCUGAUCCAGCCAUCCCGCGUGCAGGACGACUGCCCUAUGGGUUGUAAACUGCUUUUAUAUAGGGAUAAACCUACUACUCGUGAGAGUAGCUGAAGGUACUAUAUGAAUAAGCACCG